rnacentral:lncRNA from 1 species
AUGAGAGCUCUAAUGCCUCUUACAGGAUGUCAUAAUGGACACAUGGUCAGUUUAACAAAUUAAAUAUCUCCUGGAAGUCACAAGUGGAGUCAGCAGAGCAGUUUAGAGGGUGACAGAACCAGUCUGAUAGCCUUUCAGCUCCCGAGGCAUUUCAGCACUAGACAGGAGCCUUUUAAAGUGGAACUGACAGUGUUUUAGCAACAUAAAAUCAUAUUUUUUUGAGAAGCAAGCACUUGGAUAUGGUCAUUUUCACAUUUUCAUACUUUCAUAGAAUGUUUGGGAAUUACGUAGAGUAAAGCAUUUUGUGAAAAUUCUAUAGUAAUAUAGAGUUCGAAAGCGGCCAUCGUUAGGACAAUUUCUAGAUACUGCAGUCAAUAAAAUGUAAUAAAAACGUGUCAGUCUUGUCUAGGACCAGUCUCUACACAGAUCGGUGCGCCAUAGCCAAUCAGAGCUAUAGUAGGCCUAUAUGCAAUUAAGCCAUUUUCAACACAGGCCUGCCAUCAUUCAUGUUGAACUGGACUGUGUGUUUACAGGCAGUUGCAACAGCGCGACUUUAGAUCAGUAGAACGCAUUCGCAAAAAGCCACAAAAUACACCUGAAUGGAUUUCUGCAAAUAUGUAAAUACCACAGGAGUCCUCUUACUUUUGGGAACUUUACAGUCCUAUUGAUUAAACAAGCAUGAACAGGUAGGCUCUCUCUCCUUCAGUUGCCUAUGCACAACAACAACAGCAAGAUCAACAACUAAUGUUAGCCAGAGCGAGAUGAGCUAAAAUCUAACGAGGGAACAGUAGAUAAACCCUCUCAAACUUUUUUCAGCUUGUUGUUGGCCGUCAAAACUACUCUGAUAAACAAUGUGUAGUACUGUAAGCUAACGCACUUCUGUACAUUGUGCUGUAACGUACAAUUGACCUUAUUUUAGCGCCCAAAAAACGUAAUCUUUCCAUGUCAACUGUAAUAUGAAUACCAUUGUAUUCAAGCAUGUAUAUGCACAAUUUUUCCCCUUUCCAGCAAAAUCAAUGACGAGACCUUCAUGCUGCCUGUCUGCAUGAUUGAAGAAGGCAAUAAGCUCCGUCGGGUCUUUUUAAAACUGACGGGUGGGGAAGUGAAACCUACUGCGUGAUAGCGAAAGGGGGAGAUAAGGCGUGUGGGGAAAAGGCUUUUUUCACCCGAUCUGUCACUUAUCACUUCUAAAAUGUAAAAACACUAUAAAGAUUUUAUAUAACGUGUCAUUACAUACCUAUAUGAAGGUUUGUGUCGAAUUUGAAUCGGGUUUUUAGGGCGGCGCUAAAGUCAUCAUCAGAAGUAAACAGCGGCUGUCGCGGCCUUUGAGAGUCAUGAUGGCUUGCAGUGAUGACGCAAAAAAUUAAUGCAUUAGGUUGUACAAUUGACUUGGUAUCCCCCCUUACCCUGUCCCUUUCUUAUUUUUAAACUGUGAGAGAAGUUGGUGGAGAGAGGCUGUUCAACACAGAAUGAGUUGCUUUAUACGUGCUAUAUGUCACAAUUUAACGUACAGCGUCGGAGGGCCAGCAUCAGGGGAGGCUUAGCAGAUGCUUUCAGCCUGUUCCUUGCCAUCAUUAUCACCUGCGUCAGGACAAGCAACGAAGACAAAACAACUUUACAAGCUCAAUCCAGGGUGGAGAAGAGGAGGUCUGCCCAGGAUCCAGAGCAAGGGGAGUCUGCCUACGGUCCAAGGCUGAUCGGGGUCGGCACUCUGGAGGACAAUAGGCCGGAGCCUGAACCACCACCUGCAUAGGUGGGUUGGGGAGGGGGGGUGUAGCACAAGUGCCGUCGGUGACGGCAGCCACCCUCCCUUCCCUCCCUUUACUUUAGGGGGAUUUUUGUUGUUGUUUGGGGUUUUUGUUUUUCUUGAGAUGCUUCCGGGGUUAGCACCUUUAGGGGGGGUACUGUCACGUCCUGGCCAGUAUAAGGGUUAAUUGUCAUUGUAGUUUGGUCAGGACGUGGCAGAGGGUAUUUGUUUUAUGUGGUUCGGGGUGGUGUUUUGGUAAAAGGGUGUUUGAUUUAGUAUUUCCGGGUUUUUGGUUUAUGGUCUAUGUUUAUGUAUUUCUAUGAGGAGUCUAGUGAGUGUGUUUCUAUGGUUGAUUAAUUGGGGUUGGGACUCUCAAUUGAAGGCAGGUGUUUUCUCUUUGCCUUUGAUUGAGAGUCCCAUAUAUUAGGGUGUGUUUUUACAUUUGUGGGAGAUUGUUCUUUGUCUAGCAUGUAUGAACCUGAGAAGACAGUCAGUAUAUCGUGAGUACGUUGUUUAUUAUUUUGUGUUCACUUUUGAGUUAAUUAAACUUCAAGAUGAACAUUCA